AUAUAUUCUUGGUGUUGGCACGGUUCAACCUCACCGUUGUACCGAUCAAUGACCGGUGAUGGUUUGAUUGAGCCGUGCCAAUAUCGGGAGUAAGUUG
rnacentral:pre_miRNA from 1 species